UGGCUCAGAACGAACGCUGGCGGCGUGCUUAACACAUGCAAGUCGAGCGAUGAAGUUUCUUCGGAAAUGGAUUAGCGGCGAACGGGUGAGGAACACGUGAAGAAUCUGCCCUCCACUUUGGGAUAACACAGGGAAACCUGUGCUAAUACCGAAUAUUGAAACAUAAGUGGCAUCACUGAGUUUUGAAAGAAUUUCGGUGGAGGAUGACUUCGCGGCCUAUCAGCUAGUUGGUGAGGUAAUGGCUCACCAGGGAAACGACGGGUAGCCGGCCUGAGAGGGCGACCGGCCACACUUUUUCUGAGACACGGGAACNGACUCCUACGGGAGUCCGCUAGUGGGGA
rnacentral:rRNA from 1 species